UACGGAGGAUGCGAGCGUUAUCCGGAUUUAUUGGGUUUAAAGGGUGCGUAGGCGGAAUAUCAAGUCAGCGGUAAAAGCCCGGGGCUCAACCCCGGCGAGCCGUUGAAACUGGCGGGCUGGAGUUGGAGAGAAGUACGCGGAAUGCGCGGUGUAGCGGUGAAAUGCAUAGAUAUCACGCAGAACUCCGAUUGCGAAGGCAGCGUACCGGCGCCCAACUGACGCUGAAGCACGAAGGCGUGGGGAGCGAACAGG
rnacentral:rRNA from 1 species